GAGACUCUCCUUCUUGGUUGCUUCGUGUCGGUCUUCUUCUAUAUAUCUUCCUUUUCGAGCCACCCAAAUCGAUUCCGCCUCACAUCACCUUUGACCUGUUGUCAUUAUGUUUCUUAUAACUUC
ensembl:ncRNA C29A12.14 ncRNA